rnacentral:lncRNA from 1 species
GUAUGAGAUGUGGAAGACAGCACAGAGGAGUUUGUCGGUUGGGAUCUUCAGCCUGUUAUAAAUGUGGGCAGGAGGGACAUUUUGCUCGGGAAUGUCCUCAAGUGACCUUUAUGGCACCAUCCCAGCAGAUGAGCUCAGGCAGUGUAGCUCAGCCAGCAGCUCCAGCCAUACCUCAGAGUAGUGGCAGAGGCAGAGGGAGAGGG